rnacentral:miRNA from 1 species
UCACUUUGAAACAGCAAAGCGGGAGAAGAGCCGCUGAGUGGGGAGGAGAGAGGGACAGAGCGCCUGCUUCUUUAAAGGAGCAAAGCGGGAGAGGAGCACGAGUGUAAGCGGCCCCUGUCCGGUUGGUUCCUUUAAAGCAAGCAGGCUCUCUGUCCCUCUCUCCUCCCCACCCAGCUCGCUACAUAGCAGCAAAGUU